CGGAGGGUGCGAGCGUUGUCCGGAAUCACUGGGCGUAAAGGGCGCGUAGGCGGCGCGGGCAGUCAACGGUGAAAGCUCGGGGCUCAACCCCGAGUCGGCCGUCGAUACUCCCGUGCUUGAGCACUGUAGAGGCAGGUGGAAUUCCGGGUGUAGCGGUGGAAUGCGUAGAGAUCCGGAAGAACACCGGUGGCGAAGGCGGCCUGCUGGGCAGUAGCUGACGCUGAUGCGCGACAGCGUGGGGAGCAAACAGGAUUAGAUACCCUGGUAGUCCACGCCGUAAACGAUGGGUACUAGAUGCUUGGGGGAGCGACCCUCUGAGUGUCGGCGCUAACGCAUUAACGUACCCCGCUGGGGAGUACGGCCGCAAGGCUG
rnacentral:rRNA from 1 species